rnacentral:rRNA from 1 species
GACGAACGCUGGCGGCGUGCUUAACACAUGCAAGUCGAACGGAAAGGCCCUGCUUUUGUGGGGUGCUCGAGUGGCGAACGGGUGAGUAACACGUGAGUAACCUGCCCUUGACUUUGGGAUAACUUCAGGAAACUGGGGCUAAUACCGGAUAGGAGCUCCUGCUGCAUGGUGGGGGUUGGAAAGUUUCGGCGGUUGGGGAUGGACUCGCGGCUUAUCAGCUUGUUGGUGGGGUAGUGGCUUACCAAGGCUUUGACGGGUAGCCGGCCUGGGAGGGUGACCGGCCACAAUGGGCCUGAGAUACGGCCCAGAAUCGUACGGGAGGCAGCAGUGGGGAAUAUUGCACAAUGGGCGGAAGCCUGAUGCAGCAACGCCGCGUGCGGGAUGACGGCCUUCGGGUUGUAAACCGCUUUCGCCUGUGACGAAGCGUGAGUGACGGUAAUGGGUAAAGAAGCACCGGCUAACUACGUG